rnacentral:rRNA from 1 species
CAACUUUCAGCAACGGAUCUCUUGGCUCUCGCAUCGAUGAAGAACGCAGCGAAAUGCGAUAAGUAAUGUGARUUGCAGAAUUCAGUGAAUCAUCGAAUCUUUGAACGCACCUUGCGCUCCUUGGUAUUCCGAGGAGCAUGCCUGUUUGAGUGUCAUUA